GUGGGGAAUUUUGGACAAUGGGCGCAAGCCUGAUCCAGCCAUUCCGCGUGCAGGAUGAAGGCCUUCGGGUUGUAAACUGCUUUUGUACGGAACGAAAAGCCUCUGGUUAAUACCCGGGGGUCAUGACGGUACCGUAAGAAUAAGCACCGGCUAACUACGUGCCAGCAGCCGCGGUAAUACGUAGGGUGCGAGCGUUAAUCGGAAUUACUGGGCGUAAAGCGUGCGCAGGCGGUGAUGUAAGACAGGCGUGAAAUCCCCGGGCUCAACCUGGGAAUUGCGCUUGUGACUGCAGUGCUGGAGUGCGGCAGAGGGGGAUGGAAUUCCGCGUGUAGCAGUGAAAUGCGUAGAUAUGCGGAGGAACACCGAUGGCGAAGGCAAUCCCCUGGGCCUGCACUGACGCUCAUGCACGAAAGCGUGGGGAGCAAACAGGAUUAGAUACCCCAGUAGUCC
rnacentral:rRNA from 1 species